AUACGGAGGAUCCGAGCGUUAUCCGGAUUUAUUGGGUUUAAAGGGUGCGCAGGCGGCCAUUUAAGUCAGCGGUUAAAUCGUGGGGCUCAACCCCAUUCUGCCGUUGAUACUGGGUGGCUUGAUUGCGGUCGAGGUUGGCGGAAUUCGUUGUGUAGCGGUGAAAUGCAUAGAUAUGACGAAGAACACCGAUUGCGUAGGCAGCUGACCAGAACGCAAAUGACGCUCAUGCACGAAAGUGCGGGGAUCGAACAGGAUUAGAUACCCUGGUAGUCCGCACAGUAAACGAUGAAUACUUGUUUUCGGCGAUAUAAUGUCGGAGGCAAAGCGAAAGCGAUAAGUAUUCCACCUGGGGAGUACGCCGGCAACGGUGAAACUUAAAGGAAUUGACGGGG
rnacentral:rRNA from 1 species